rnacentral:rRNA from 1 species
CAGCAGUGGGGGAUAUUGCACAAUGGGGGAAACCCUGAUGCAGCGACGCCGCGUGGAGGAAGAAGGUUUUCGGAUUGUAAACUCCUGUCGUUAGGGACGAUAAUGACGGUACCUAACAAGAAAGCACCGGCUAACUACGUGCCAGCAGCCGCGGUAAAACGUAGGGUGCAAGCGUUGUCCGGAAUUACUGGGUGUAAAGGGAGCGCAGGCGGACCGGCAAGUUGGAAGUGAAAACUAUGGGCUCAACCCAUAAAUUGCUUUCAAAACUGCUGGCCUUGAGUAGUGCAGAGGUAGGUGGAAUUCCCGGUGUAGCGGUGGAAUGCGUAGAUAUCGGGAGGAACACCAGUGGCGAAGGCGACCUACUGGGCACCAACUGACGCUGACGCUCGAAAGCAUGGGCAGCAAACAGGAUUAGAUACCCUGGUAGUCCAUGCCGUAAACGAUGAUUACUAGGUGUUGGAGGAUUGACCCCUUCAGUGCCGCAGUUAACACAAUAAGUAAUCCACCUGGGGAGUACGACCGCAAGGUUGAAACUCAAAGGAAUUGACGGGGGCCCGCACAAGCAGUGGAGUAUGUGGUUUAAUUCGACGCAACGCGAAGAACCUUACCAAGUCUUGACAUCCUGCGACGCACAUAGAAAUAUGUGUUUCCUUCGGGACGCAGAGACAGGUGGUGCAUGGUUGUCGUCAGCUCGUGUCGUGAGAUGUUGGGUUAAGUCCCGCAACGAGCGCAACCCUUAUGGUCAGUUACUACGCAAGAGGACUCUGGCCAGACUGCCGUUGACAAAACGGAGGAAGGUGGGGAUGACGUCAAAUCAUCAUGCCCUUUAUGACUUGGGCUACACACGUACUACAAUGGCGUUAAACAAAGAGAAGCAAGACCGCGAGGUGGAGCAAAACUCAGAAACAACGUCCCAGUUCGGACUGCAGGCUGCAACUCGCCUGCACGAAGUCGGAAUUGCUAGUAAUCGUGGAUCAGCAUGCCACGGUGAAUACGUUCCCGGGCCUUGUACACACCGCCCGUCACACCAUGAGAGCCGGGGGGACCCGAAGUCGGUAGUCUAACCGCAAGGAGGACGCCGCCGAAGGUAAAACUGGUGAUUGGGGUGAAGUCGUAACAAGGUAGCCGUAGGAGAACCUGCGGCUG